UCUGGAUUGUGUGUUCGUCGUGCUUGUGUUCGGCGGUGGGUGAAUUCGCGCGAAAAGCACGCGCCUCGAAGAACGUGCUUUGCUUUCAUUCAUCUGUCGGCGGUUAUCCGCGCAUAUCACCAAGAAACGACGAAAAAUCGGUCCGGCGAUACGCGUCAUCUCUUCUCCUCACUCUUCAACUCUUCUUCCUUUCUCGUGCUACACGGCGGCCUCUCGACGGUUAGUCAGUCAGUCAGUCAGCCAGCCAGCCAGUCGUAUUCAGUGCCGGUAGAUGCGCUCGUUGUGCGCUCAUGCCACGUCCUGCGCUCGAAAAAUUACUCGCUGCGCGUGUCCAGCUAUAAUCGAGACAAUUCGAAUUCAUAUGUGAGUCGUAUAUUUUUCAAUAUCUCUCGUUCGAUCUCUACAUCAAUCGAGACUAUCAGAUUGGUCCAUUAGCUCGCGCAGUUUUUCGUAAAUCGUGGAAACUGAAAGUUGUUCGUGCGUUUUCAUUCAUUCUUUGAUUAGAGAGUUUCCUUGUUUCUUUACAGUAAUUAAUCUGUGAGUCGUAUGCUUCUUGUGAAUGUGAAAAUUUCUAUUUCUUCAUUAUGUACUAUGUAUUACAAUUGUCGCGAAAAUGUUCAGUUUUACGUAUGAAGAAUUUGGUUAUUUUUUCUCACAAGCAAGUUCAUAUGUCGAGUUUUGUUUGCUUUGCGAAUCGUGAACCGUAGAGCUUCUCCAUUGUGUAUUUUCAUUCACUGCUUUUGAAUUCCUUGCGCCAAGAGGUUCUCGUGUUUCUCUUUUUCAACAUGAACCGGUGUAUAUGUCGUUACAGAAGACAUCUUUAUUGACAUGUCGAUAUAAAGCUUCGUAUUUCACUGUUAAUCUACAGGAAGGAAGUAAAUGUUAUCGAACAAUGUAUAACACAUCGGAUAGGAAAAUUUUGUGAGAUAAAUUAAAUUUGCAUGAAUCGUACAAUAUACAGUACAAUAUAAAAAUAUGGUAUUAUCGAUUAGUAAUAAAAAUUCGCCAUUAACGAGUUUCGUUCGACUCUUAUGAACUGUGCAACACAUAAAUCGAUUUGAAAAUGACAUUAUCGAUUGACGUAAAAAAUUCGAUUUUAUGACAUAUUUUCAACUUCCGUGAAGUAUGUAACGAUGAAGUUGUUUGCUAAUAACGGAAAUUCGUUUAACUUUCAUAUUUACAGAUUUAUGAUUCCGUAAAAGAAACAAGGCCUAUCAACGAGAUUUUCGUGAAAACAAGUCGUGGAUCGUAUUGUAGUAAAUAGAGAAUAGUCAAUUCGCAUAUGAACUUUGAGUGUCUCGAUUAUGCGUAAGUGAAUCGUGUCGUUAAUCGCUCGCGUUGGGAUUUUCUCGCGUUCUAACCUUAUUUCUUUAGCUAGUGGUGAUUCGAAUCGCGGUCUCGACGUGUUUUUGUGCGUUAGUGCGUGAGUGAGUGUAGCGUGCCCUAUUUAUAUCGCAGUGUGCGUUGACACACGACGUACGUCUAAUUAAGGGAGAAACUGCAGAUCAUCUUCUCCUGACCGGAUGCCAGACGAAACGACGGGCAUCCUUUGCACAGAGAUCAGCCAUGUCUGUUUCGUAGCGAAUCGGAAGUUCGCAGCA